CCUACGGGUGGCAGCAGUGAGGAAUAUUGGUCAAUGGGCGCGAGCCUGAACCAGCCAAGUCGCGUGAGGGAAGACGGUCCUAUGGAUUGUAAACCCCUUCUGUAGGGGAGCAAAAGACGCCACGCGUGGCGUACCGAGAGUACCCGAAGAAAAAGCAUCGGCUAACUCCGUGCCAGCGGCCGCGGUAAUACGGGGGAUGCGAGCGUUAUCCGGAUUUAUUGGGGUUAAAGGGUGCGCAGGCGGAAGGUCAAGUCAGCGGGAAAAUUGAGAGGCUCAACCUCUCCGAGCCGUUGAAACUGGUUGUCUUGAGUGAGUGAGAGGUAUGCGGAAUGCGUGGUGUAGCGGUGAAAUGCGUGGAUAUCACGCAGAACUCCGGUGGCGAAGGCAGCAUACCGGCGCUCAACUGACGCUCAUGCACGAAAGUGUGGGUAUCGAACAGGAUUAGAUACCCGGGUAGUC
rnacentral:rRNA from 1 species